rnacentral:rRNA from 1 species
ACUACGCGGGUCUGCAGUGAGGAAUCUUGGUCAAUGGGCUUACGCCUGAACCAGCCAAGUCGCGUGAGGGAAGACUGCCCUAUGGGUUGUAAACCUCUUUUGUCAGGGAGCAACGCCGGCUACGUGUAGCCGGACUGAGAGUACCUGAAGAAAAAGCAUCGGCUAACUCCGUGCCAGCAGCCGCGGUAAUACGGAGGAUGCGAGCGUUAUCCGGAUUUAUUGGGGUUAUAGGGUGCGUAGGCGGAAUGCCAAGUAAGCGGUAAAAUCGCGGGGCUCAACCGCGCUCCGCCGUUGAAACUGGCGUUGUUGAGGGGGCGAGAAGGAUGCGGUAGGCGUGGUGUAGCGGU